ACAAAAUCAUUUCACGCGGAAGAAUUUCAGAUCUUCCCUCCCAAGUUGAUGAAAAACUCAAUUAGAAAUUCUCUCCCAAAUUCAUAAAAACUCGAAAAUUUUCAAUUCUCGCGCCCAAAUUUAUAAAAUUUCUAAACUCAUUCAUUCAAUUUCUUCUUCUCAAACUCUUAAACUCAAAAAUUUCACUCUAAAAUCAGAAACCCUAAAAUCGAGAACGGUAUCUUCUUCUCUGUCCACUUCUAGAACACACCUUUCUCGGUUCAGCUCCACCACACUUGCCGAUUAACCACUCUAUGUAGUUGGUAGCUCGACCAUAUUUCGGUGUUUGCAUAUCAACCUCUUCGGCGUUCGCAACUCGACCAAACCCUGCGGAGGUCAAACAAGUGGAGCUCUUGAGAAUGACGGAAACAAUUACUUCAAGAAAAGCAUUUCACAGUAACAAUCGAUUCUUACACCCAGGCAAUAACUUUUCCUCUAAUAUUCCAGCCUAUUAUACUAAUCGAUCUUUAUGUCAUCUCAAGUGCAAUGAAUGAGAGAAGUUUGAGGAAGGCUCUAGAUAAGCAAUUUAGCCGGACAGCAAUUUGGUUAAGGGUAUUGGGUUUGAUCUUUUCAUAAUUUUGUAAUUCCAUCUGUCUAAUUCCUUUCUUGUUAUAUAGUUUUGUUUCCUUUCUUGUUUAUUAAUGUUUUCACUAUAAGCAAUAAAAAGAGUUUAUUGUUUGAAGUUUAUAAGUAAGUAUUGAUCAUUCACAUGCCUUGUUUUUAACAUGCUUCUGUUGCCACUACCACAUACAGUAGUUAUGGUUAUGUAAUAAUGAGUAGUCAAAACUCAAUUGGUAUUGUUGUUGUUUUUUCUCACAACUGUAGUAGGAUAGCUGCGUGUGCCUUCGACUUUGUGAGUCUAGAGCCCACUGAGGUAAUUUUCUGCUUUUUCUAUGGUGAUUUGUUUCUUACUUGCUGAUCAACAUUGAAGAUGUGUAACUUGUGUCUUUUAAUGGCUAACCUUUCACGUGUGACUAUUUUAUCAUAGGUUGUUGGGAUAAUUAAAGAUCUACUGUCAUGGUAUUGUGACUGCCAAAAGUUUUUCACUUAUGAUGCAGUUUAUGUUUAAAAUGAAAAAAGAAAAACAAAGAUGGCAGUGAACUUUGAUUGUAGUUUUUAUUUUGCCAAUGAACUUUGAUUACACUGGUAGCUAUGCGAGUAGUUUUCAGUCAAAUAUAUUGACAUACUCAUGCCUAAUUUCACAUAAUAUUUCUGGGCGUGUUACUUAAUUAUGAAUAUUUUUUUCUAUGCCAUUCAAAUUUUUCUACGCAGUUAACUAGGUUUUGGUCUCUUAAAAUUUAUCAUUUACUUUGAGGAAUUAACCAUAAUUUUUAAAUUUUAAUAUUAAAUAAAUGAUUUUUGGUUGAUUUGUUUUAGUACAUUGUGAAAGGUGGAAAGGGUUUGUUUUAUUUGUUGUCGGAUGCUGUCAAGGGGACUAAGCAUAUUGGUGUUUUUGGAUGGGGUUCCAGGUAAUUCUUUUUAAAUUCUCAUAUUAAUUUUAUAUUCAAAGACUAUUAAGUAAGUUUUUGGUUAAUGUAUAGAAUUUUGAUACACUAGAGAACAUAAUGUUUCUGUAGCAAGAGUUAAUGAUUUCUAUUCCUUAUAUUGGCUUAGUGCAUUGAACUUUUUCAUUUUUUCAAAGUACAAUAUGUGUAUUGACUAAUUUUGGUUUUGUUUGGAGGGGUGUUUUCAACUCAACAAGUAGGCAUCAGGAAACAUAAAUUUUGAUACACACUCAAGUUAUACGGAUUAGAACCUGGUACUAAUAGGUAACCAAGUAAAUUGGCAACCAACUGAGCUAUUUCGUUUUUGUUGAUUCUUAUUGUUUCAAACUUAAUAUAUUAAUUUGUAAAACGUUAAAAAUGUUAAAAAAACUUUAUACAACUAUUAUACAUAUUAUAUACAUAUUGUAUACUAACAGUUUUUUUAAUAUUAAUUUUUUAUACUAACAUUAUUGUUAAAUCAUUUUAAGUUAAUAUUAAUUUUGUAUACUAACGUUAAUUGUUAAAUCAUUUUGUAUAAACUUUAAAAAUUAUACUAACGUUUUAUUUUUUUAUAUAAUAUAUUAACUUCUCAAAUUUAUAAAUUUCUAAAAAAAUUGAGCAAUAUUAAUUUAUAUUAGUUAUACAAACUUUUUUUACAUGUU